rnacentral:lncRNA from 1 species
ACCUUCCAAAAAUUAAGUCGGACCAUCGUCCUAUUCUUUUGGUUCUUAACUCGAGUAUUUCUCAACCCAGGGAAAGACCGAUUUUUAGCGGGUUGGAUUGAACACCCGGGGUUUGAGAAUUUCUUAAAGGAGAACUGGGAUUCUUCUGGCAAUUUCACUGAGACUCUUGGAAGGUUCACUCAUAAGCUUAAGGAAUGGAAUAAAAAUGUUUAUGGUAAUAUUACUACUCGUAAGAGAGAUCUUAUCAAUAGAAUUGCUUGCAUUCAGAAG